ensembl:snoRNA SNORA70 Small nucleolar RNA SNORA70
AGGUAGCCAAGGAGACUCUGGAUUAUAAUAAGAGUAUCAAGUGCAAUGGCUGCAAAUAGCAGCCUCCUCGGUAGUGUAUGCAGUCUGCUGCCUGUAUAGGUCACCCUAAGGGACCUUGGCAACAGCC